CAAAGUGUUCAUCUGGGUCUAGAUGGCUCCCAGAAAUAAGGAAUAAGGACCCUGGACUCCAAUCAAAAGCUGGCUGGGAGCACCAGGAUGUAAAAAGUCAGUUACUCAGCAGACAAGGUGACAAGGAGCCAGCUGCUGGUGGAUAUAGGUGGAUAUUACACAUACGUGGGAAAAGGCCAGGAUUAUCCAAGGUAAGCAGCCUCAUUCACAACCAAGGAAACCUGGAUCACAACCCAGGUAAGACUCUGAGUUCAAAUUCAAGUGGCUGGCAUUGCAUUGUGGGGGGAGCCACAGUUGCUGGAUCUGAAAGCACUUUUUCAGUUGCUGUGCAGAGGUUUCCAUCUGAAAGGGAAAAAUCAACACCAGGCAUACAAAGCACACUCCAGAGGCAACUGGGCACCUCUGAGAGGCAUGAUCCACCCAAACCUGGUCCCUGCCUUAAGAGAAUUCUGCCCAUGAAAGAAGCUCCUGUGAGCCUGAAGCCUCCCCUUUGAGCCCUCUCUCAAGGGUGUAAAGUACACAGCUUAUUUGGGAAUUUGCCACCUUGCUGCAUUAGUCAGUGAGGAGGCCCUGAGAAGGGACAGAUGGAAAGGAGUGGGGGGGAAGGGAGGGUCAGGAUGCAAGCCCCACAGCUGGGGUGUUAUAAAAACUAGCAGCCAAGCAGUGUAGAAACAAGAGCCUUAAGCAUCUGAUUAGCCCACAAGCAGCUGUGGUUAAUUUCUGAAAUAACUUGAAAAUCAAAAUACAGCUUUCUAUUCAACCGCAAGAAUGAUCAAUGGAUUGGAGAAUCAAACCAAAGCCAGAGGCACUGGGGCCUUGCUCUAAUGGUGUCUAUGGCAUAGCGCCAUGCUAUGUGGGUAAAACCAGGUUAUAAUGAGUUCCCUGUCUGGGAUUUCUAAAAAGCAGUUCCCUGCUCCCUACAACAGGACUCAAGACAGAGCCAAAAUCCAGCCACCCAUGAAGGCCCUGGAAAAUACCACACUAACUAAACUGAGCCUAAGAGGAGACACUUUAAGAAUUUAGAUAAACUUGAUUGCUCUUUCUUUAGU